rfam:Stegodyphus mimosarum contig80918, whole genome shotgun sequence.
GCCUUCGUGGUGUAAUGGUCAGCACACUGAGCCGGUAUUUCAGAGGUCCGUGGUUCGAUCCCCAGCGAAGGCG